rnacentral:rRNA from 1 species
CCUACGGGAGGCAGCAGUGAGGAAUAUUGGUCAAUGGGCGGGAGCCUGAACCAGCCAAGCCGCGUGAGGGAAGAAGGUACAGCGUAUCGUAAACCUCUUUUGUCAGGGAACAAAGGCGGGGACUAGUCCCCGGAUGAGGGUACCUGAAGAAAAAGCAUCGGCUAACUCCGUGCCAGCAGCCGCGGUAUACGGAGGAUCCGAGCGUUAUCCGGAUUUAUUGGGUUUAAAGGGUGCGUAGGCGGUUUGAUAAGUUAGAGGUGAAAUGUCGGGGCUCAACCCGGGCCGGCCGUUGAAACUGGGGAUCUUGAGUGGGCGAGAAGUAUGCGGAAUGCGUGGUGUAGCGGUGAAAUGCAUAGAUAUCACGCAGAACUCCGAUUGCGAAGGCAGCAUACCGGCGCCCGACUGACGCUGAGGCACGAAAGCGUGGGGAUCGAACAGGAUUAGAUACCCGUGUAGUC